CUACAUACACACACACCAACACUGAGAUAGUAAUUGAAAAUUUUACUGAUGCAUUGUGGCUAGUAGAAACCAAAAGCUAUUUAUAAAACUCUCAUGAAAUGGCAUGCUAAUAAUCAAUAUAAAAGUACUCUCACUUUCUUUUUUCCUCUACGUUCAAAAUGAAUUGUGUCGUUACAAGACUUGCUUAUUGAUUUUAUUUUGAUGUGUAUAGGUUUUAAUCUCUUUUCAAGUGAAUUGUGUCAUUUAAUUUUUGUUGACAUCAUAAGCAUUUUAUUAGUUGCUUAAAAUUUCAUCUUAUUCCUCCUCCUCCUCCUUUCUCUGUCUCUUUCCUGUACCUGUAGGUUUUAACUUCUUUUAGUGAAUUGUGUCUGAGUAUACAAGACUUUGUCAUUUAAUUUUGUUCACUAAGUGUUUCAUUAUUGCUUAGAUUUUAUCUUCCUCCUCUUUCUCUCCCUCCCGCUCUUUCCUCUACCUUUAGGUUAUGUUCAAAUGAAUUGUGUUUGAUUAUGUACAUGGCUUCCUUAUUGAAUAUUUUGUUGAUAUCCUGUGCCUGAAUUUAUGUAGAAGACUUGUGAAUCAUGAUAUAGUUACUGCUCG